rnacentral:sRNA from 1 species
CUGGCAACAGGGCUCUCUUUCUUGGAUGUCUCAGCCAUGACAGAGACUUCUCACAUCACAGCAGUGUCAUGGGAUAUUUACUGUGAAUAGGAAGUCCCACGCCCCCCAGGUUAUAACUCCUCUACAGGAUGGCUGGGGGCUUGAAGAUGUUCUCAAUCACACACUCUGGCUUCUGCAGACCCUAAUGUUGAGGUGAGGACUCCAUCAGCACCUUGGGCCUGAUCCUUGGU